CAGUCGCCGCGGGAAUACGAAGGGUGCAAGCGUUACUCGGAAUUACUGGGCGUAAAGCGUGCGUAGGUGGUGGUUUAAGUCCGUUGUGAAAGCCCUGGGCUCAACCUGGGAAUUGCAGUGGAUACUGGGUCACUAGAGUGUGGUAGAGGAUAGUGGAAUUUCCGGUGUAGCAGUGAAAUGCGUAGAGAUCGGAAGGAACAUCUGUGGCGAAGGCGACUAUCUGGGCCAACACUGACACUGAGGCACGAAAGCGUGGGGAGCAAACAGGAUUAGAUACCCCUGUAGUCCCUGUCUCUUAUAC
rnacentral:rRNA from 1 species